UCUAACUUUAUGUAGCAGGAUUAGGUGAGCUGUGAUUGACAGCUACUGUCACCUAUCAGGAAGGGGCAGUCCCUUUUUAAGCACUGAUUGGCUGCUGCUCGGAAUGCGUCAUGUCCUGUGUUUCCCCCGGGUGUUUGCAGCAAUAGCGACAGGUGAGAAUUGUUAAUGUGCUGUUUGUAGUUUUAAUCUGUAUGUUAUUUAAAACUUAGUUUGUGUUGGUUUUAGCGUGUUUGUCCAGCGUACUGGUGCCCUUGUGCUGUUGGUGGCUUAAAUGACUGUGCACCCUCAGUUGGCUGUGGUUGACCUGUUGUAGGUUAAACAGUGCUGUAAAAGACGUUAAUGUGUCUGGGGUGAUGCCACUGUGCGGGUUCUCCCUUUUGUUCUACGUGGUUUCCUCUGGUUGCUGCCUGUUUGAGUCUCGUGCUGCUUUAUCGCACUACUAUAACAUUACAUUAUUGUCACCGCUGUAAACCGGACUGUCCACUGUCUGGUUUCUGAACUUGAGUGUGUGUUAUCUUAAAGUGGAGGAUUAGCGCAUUGGAGCCGGCGUAUGGACUUUGGUGUUUGCGCCAUGACUUUCGUGUAGCUUCAGCUGCCAAUUUUCUUUUUUUUGUUUUUUUGUUUCUAUUGUAAAAUUUGUAUAUUAUUGUUUUGAAUAUUUAUUUUGCUUAAUAUCCUUUCAGGAGCUGGGGUCCCCACGGGUGAGGGAUCUUGUGGUGGUGGUGGUACCGCUCAACGGUUCCCGUGUUACACAUUUGAAGUGUAUAAGUGUGUGUACAUUGAGUUCACGGUGUGGUGUGCGAAAGUGUGCUUUUGGACAACUUGUGCCAGUGAUCCCUCGAGUGGGUAACCUCAGCUCUGUAGGUUUGUGUAUUGUUUUAAUUAGUUUAUUAUUUGUCCUCCUUUCCACGCACUGCAUUGUAGCAGUGAGGACCCUGAAACCUUAAAUUGUUUUGUAUUUUUGUGUAACUUGUGAUUGUGAUGUUUUAUGUCAUUUGUUUUAUGUAUUUUGCUGCAGUGAGACAGAUUUGUUUUGAAUAAUGUUGUCAUCUGUCUAUUUUACACCUAGCACAUUGACAUGAACAAAGAAUAUUGUGUAAUAAAAAUUAUAUUUUUUGUACUAUA